CGGGGUAGUGCUGGGUGGUUAAGUGUCUUGUUUGGGUCAAGAAGGUUCUCAGUUCGAAUCUGAGUGCCCCGA